AUCAUGGCACUGCAAAUCAUCAGCGUGCUUCUUUUCACUGUGUUUUUCUCCAAAGCACUGACACUACAGUGUUACAACUGUACCACUGCAGUUCCAUCUGGAUCAUGCAAUCAAACUGCUAACUGUUCUUCACCGUGCAGCUCCAUGACCACAUACAAUGGUAAUGGCCAGAAGUCUUGUGCAGCCUUGUGUGCUAAUUGGAGCAUAAAUUUUGGACAGUACAACAUGUCCUCCCACUGCUGUGCUUCAGAUCGCUGCAACAAUGCUACAGAUUCAAACUCAGAUAAUGGACGGAUGUGUUACACCUGCAGUGACCCAAACUGCUCAAACACCCAAACACUGAAAUGUAAAGGUGAUGAGAACCAGUGCAUCACUGCAGCAGUUGGAUUAAAUGGCACGAACUCCACUGUCAAAGGAUGUGCAAGCCAAAACAUCUGUAACAACAGUGCACUAGUGAAUCCUGCACUACCCCCAGGCCUAAUCAUAUUUUCUGUUUCAUGUCUUAAUGCAAAUAAUACCCAGAAUACGACACAGGGACCUGUAAAUAAUGCCCAAAGUACGACACAGGGGCUGUGUCUGCUGGUACCAGUACUGGGAAACCUCCUUUUUUUUCAUCUGAGAUCUGUUCUAGGAAGUUGGUUUUAUUAGUAUUUGGAUGCUCAGUUUUGUCAAUCUAAAGCAGUUUCAAGCUUUUCUGUUUAAUUGAGGGGAAUUUAUUUGUUUAAAAUGACCGUCUGUCUGGUAAGUGUGCUGUUGUAUUUCUAAUUGUGAAUCUAAUCAAGUAAAAUAAACAUUAAAAUACUUUAUUAGCAGUCUUAUUAAACACUAAAAUUUGAAUGACCAAAA